GCUGGGCACAGUUGGGAAUGCCUGUAAUCCCAGCAGCUUGGGAGGCUGAGACAAGAGGAUCAUGAGUUCAAAGCCAGCUUCAGCAAAAGCAAGGUGCUAAGCAACUCUGUGAGACCCUGUCUCUA
rnacentral:sRNA from 1 species